AGUGAACGCUGGCGGCGUGCUUAACACAUGCAAGUCGAACGAGAACGGAUUAUAGCUUGCUAUAAUUGUCAGCUAAGUGGCGCACGGGUGAGUAAUGUAUAGAUAACCUGCCCUCUAGAAAGGAAUAACAGUUGGAAACGACUGCUAAUGCCCUAUAUGCCUUUAAUACAUAAGUAUGCAAGGGAAACGCUUUAGUGCUAGAGGAUGGGUCUGUAUGGUAUCAGUUAGUUGGUGAGGUAAUGGCUCACCAAGACUAUGACGCCUAACUGGUUUGAGAGGAUGAUCAGUCACACUGGAACUGAGACACGGUCCAGACUCCUACGGGAGGCAGCAGUGGGGAAUAUUGCACAAUGGACGAAAGUCUGAUGCAGCAACGCCGCGUGGAGGAUGACACAUUUCGGUGCGUAAACUCCUUUUAUAUAGGAAGAUAAUGACGGUACUAUAUGAAUAAGCACCGGCUAACUCCGUG
rnacentral:rRNA from 1 species